rnacentral:rRNA from 1 species
UACGUAGGGCGCAAGCGUUGUCCGGAAUUAUUGGGCGUAAAGAGCUCGUAGGCGGCUUGUCACGUCGAUUGUGGAAGCCCGAGGCUUAACCUCGGGUCUGCAGUCGAUACGGGCUAGCUAGAGUGUGGUAGGGGAGAUCGGAAUUCCUGGUGUAGCGGUGAAAUGCGCAGAUAUCAGGAGGAACACCGGUGGCGAAGGCGGAUCUCUGGGCCAUUACUGACGCUGAGGAGCGAAAAGCGUGGGGAGCGAACAGG